CGGGGUGCACCAGGCGCGAAAACUCUACAAUGCAGGCAACUGCGAUAGGGGAACAUCGAGUGAUCCUCAUAUUGGGGGUCUGUCCACCCGCCUAAAAAGCGGGUGUUAGCAAGGGCCGGGCAAGACCGGUGCCAGCCGCCGCGGUAAUACCGGCGGCUCGAGUGGUGGCCGAUAUUAUUGAGUCUAAAGGGUCCGUAGCCGGCUUUGCAAGUCUCUCGGGAAAUCCAGCGGCUUAACCGUUGGUCGUCCGGGGGGUACUACAUUGCUUGGGACUGGGAGAGGCGAGAGGUACUCAGGGGGUAGGAGUGAAAUCCUGUAAUCCUCUGGGGACCACCGGUGGCGAAGGCGUCUCGCCAGAACAGGUCCGACGGUGAGGGACGAAAGCUAGGGGCACGAACCGGAUUAGAUACCCGGGUAGUCCUAGCCGUAAACGAUGCUCGCUAGGUGUCACAACAGUCGUGAACUGUUGUGGUGCCGUAGGGAAGCCGUGAAGCGAGCCACUUGGGAAGUACGACCGCAAGGUUGAAACUUAAAGGAAUUGGCGGGGGAGCACAAGGGCGAUUCGCGG
rnacentral:rRNA from 1 species